UGGGGAAUAUUGCACAAUGGGCGCAAGCCUGAUGCAGCCAUGCCGCGUGUGUGAAGAAGGCCUUCGGGUUGUAAAGCACUUUCAGCGAGGAGGAAGGUGGUGAACUUAAUACGUUCAUCAAUUGACGUUACUCGCAGAAGAAGCACCGGCUAACUCCGUGCCAGCAGCCGCGGUAAUACGGAGGGUGCAAGCGUUAAUCGGAAUUACUGGGCGUAAAGCGCACGCAGGCGGUUUGUUAAGUCAGAUGUGAAAUCCCCGGGCUCAACCUGGGAACUGCAUUUGAAACUGGCAAGCUAGAGUCUCGUAGAGGGGGGUAGAAUUCCAGGUGUAGCGGUGAAAUGCGUAGAGAUCUGGAGGAAUACCGGUGGCGAAGGCGGCCCCCUGGACGAAGACUGACGCUCAGGUGCGAAAGCGUGGGGAGCAAACAGGAUUAGAUACCCCUGGUAGUCCACGCUGUAAAACGAUGUCGAUUUUGGAGGUUGUGCCCCUUGAGGCGUGGNUUCCGGAGCUAACG
rnacentral:rRNA from 1 species